rnacentral:rRNA from 1 species
CUAGGAGAUGGCGACCGGCGCACGGGUGAGUAACACGUAUCCAACCUGCCGAUAACUCGGGGAUAGCCUUUCGAAAGAAAGAUUAAUACCCGAUGGCAUAAUAGAACCGCAUGGUUUGAUUAUUAAAGAAUUUCGGUUAUCGAUGGGGAUGCGUUCCAUUAGGCAGUUGGUGGGGUAACGGCCCACCAAACCUUCGAUGGAUAGGGGUUCUGAGAGGAAGGUCCCCCACAUUGGAACUGAGACACGGUCCAA